CGGACAUACACAGCGGUGGCAGCGGCAGCUACCCACUACCACGCAUGCGCGCUGCCGACCCAUCGGCGAACGCCGGCACAAGGAGGUACCACAGAUCGAAAAGGACAGUGGCAAAUUGGAGCAAGUUCAGAGGAUGGCAACCAAGGAGGAGCCUGAAAACCAAGCCUAACAAGGAACAUAUUGGGAUACACCUUUCCAACACAGGCCAAGCAGUGAUGCAGUAGAAGCCUUAACCUGCUGCUGUGAGGAUUUGCAUGGGGAGAAACAAGAUGAAGUUGACUUCCAUGAAGACUGAGUUGCUAUUUGCCCAGAAACCAAUUAGCUCUCUCUUUGCUCCAGUGGUGACUUUGGAUGGGGUAGCAAUACAAAUUUUGUGGCAACACAAAAAUAAAGCAAAAGUAAGUAAGUAAAUACAGAAAUAGAAAUAGAAAUAGAAAUGAAAUAUAAUAGAUCUCAUUGUAAGCGAGUUCAUGUAGAAUAGAUAGGGUAAAAAACAGAAGCUCAUUAAAAGAGUUAAAGCUGAUAGAGGGUGAUAGUCCAGUCUUCCUUACAAUCUUGUAAAAAUCAAAAUGAAGAACUAUUUUAUAUUGUGAUCUUUAGAGCAAGAGUAGAAUUAAAAUAUUUAAUAUAAGCAUAAACCAUAUUUCUCUUUCAUAGAUGCACACACAAAAGUGGAACCUGCAACAGCGUGUAGUUGGAGUUCCCCACUGGCCCUAUCGGCCAUGAAUAUAUUCAAAGAGGUUUCAUUAAAUUUCCCACUGUUGCAGCACCUAGCAUCCCUGUCUGGUUUCAAAAAAUGCCAAGCAGAGUUUGAUUUAAUACUUGAAUUGGAGACCACUGAGCUGAGGUGAGCGGAGGGGAAUAAAAGAAAAAAAAAUCCUGGAAACAAUCAAACCAUUGCCAUAGAAAUGCCAAGAAAACAAUAGGGAUGUGUCCAUGUCAUUACCAGGAAUCAAGUUUGAUUCAAAGGAGUUUUUACUGCCCCUGUUUUCCAGUGUUUCUCUCUUGCAAUCAUAUACUUACUUGGUCAUUGGUCAAUCCAAGUCCUCACUGAGCUGUUUUUAGUGGGUCUUCCAUCUUGGUCUUGUUUGGUUUUGAUUUUUUUCCCCUAAAUUUGUACUUCUGCAAAAUUGGGAGUUUCUACAAGUCUUAUACUGAUAAAUCUCAUUGUACAUAGAUUUUAUAAUUUUGUGGUACAGUUCUUCAUUGGUACAAUUGUCUUCCUUUAAACAAGGAGUGUUCCAGGACUCCCCUUCAUCAGCCAUAAAAAUGCAUUUAACAACGUCUUGCCUUUUUGUGAUAAUCCAAAUCACCUGUUUAAAGUAGCUGUCUUACUCUGCCCAAUGGCAAGAUACAGUUCUUUGUGGUUUCUGCUCCUUCUCCAAGUAUUAGUCCUAUAGGGCAUAUGGAAACAGUCUCUGCAUACUAUGUGCAAGCUGCCGACAUUUCAUAAAAUAAAGCUUUUACUAUUUAAAGACCAGUAGAUGGCAAUAGGGGAUCAUUUAAAAAAAAAAAAAAGUUAGCUGUAGCAAUCCAGUCCCAGAAACACUACAGAAUGUACCCAUCUGGUUUCCAGAAUUAGCUGUACUAGAAGUGGGAGUUACUCUCCCGCUUGUGUUUCUGUUGUGCCUUUAUUAAGAAUCACUAAAGGUCGGAUGCCACCCACUGUCUUCAUUAAAGAGUUAUGUGAUGGAAUAUAUGCAUUCUUUUACAAAGUGUAGCUCCAUCAUCCCAGCUCUUCUUAUUUCUACUCUAUACCAAGAUGAGAGGCCCACUCAUAAUAAUUGUCACUAAAAUGGCACUGAAAUAUAUAUGUACCAAUCAAACUCCUCUAAAGUAAAUCCUUCCUUGCUUAGAUACCUUUAUAUUAAAGCUUCAUUAUUAUUUUUUUGUCUAUAUUAUUUAUUUUUCCUAUUGCUGAUUACUGCAGUCUUGUGGCACUUUACAGAAAAAAAAGGCUCUCAUGCUAAGCCUAAAGUGGCUUGUUUGGUUUAUAAAACUUUAAUCUUGUAGUUUAGCCUGUCAUGCAAACCCAACAAUUGUGAUUUAU